AGUGAACGCUGGCGGUAGGCCUAACACAUGCAAGUCGAACGGCAGCACAGUAAGAGCUUGCUCUUACGGGUGGCGAGUGGCGGACGGGUGAGGAAUACAUCGGAAUCUACUUUUUCGUGGGGGAUAACGUAGGGAAACUUACGCUAAUACCGCAUACGACCUACGGUGAAAGCAGGGGAUCUUCGGACCUUGCGCGAUUGAAUGAGCCGAUGUCGGAUUAGCUAGUUGGCGGGGUAAGGGCCCACCAAGGCGACGAUCCGUAGCUGGUCUGAGAGGAUGAUCAGCCACACUGGAACUGAGACACGGUCCAGACUCCUACGGGAGGCAGCAGUGGGGAAUAUUGGACAAUGGGCGCAAGCCUGAUCCAGCCAUACCGCGUGGGUGAAGAAGGCCUUCGGGUUGUAAAGCCCUUUUGUUGGGAAAGAAAAGCAGCAGGUUAAUACCCCGCUGUUCUGACGGUACCCAAAGAAUAAACACCGGCUAACUUCGU
rnacentral:rRNA from 1 species